GGGGAAUAUUGCGCAAUGGGGGAAACCCUGACGCAGCAACGCCGCGUGAAGGAAGAAGGUCUUCGGAUUGUAAACUUUUGUCUUAUGGGAAGAGUAGAAGACGGUACCCCUUGAAUAAGCCACGGCUAACUACGUGCCAGCAGCCGCGGUAAUACGUAGGUGGCAAGCGUUGUCCGGAUUUACUGGGUGUAAAGGGCGUGUAGCCGGGAAGGCAAGUCAGAUGUGAAAUCUGGAGGCUCAACCUCCAAACUGCAUUUGAAACUGCUUUUCUUGAGUGUCGGAGAGGUAAUCGGAAUUCCUUGUGUAGCGGUGAAAUGCGUAGAUAUAAGGAAGAACACCAGUGGCGAAGGCGGAUUACUGGACGAUAACUGACGGUGAGGCGCGAAAGCGUGGGGAGCAAACA
rnacentral:rRNA from 1 species